GCCAGCAGCCAUAUCACUCUGCAACUCUCAACUGGCAGCCCACUGAAGCUAAGCAGGUGUGAGCCUGGUCAGUACCUGGAUGGGAGACCUCCUGGGAAAAACUAAGGUUGCUGCUGGAA
ensembl:rRNA 5S_rRNA 5S ribosomal RNA